AUUUGAAUGAGUUUAGACUUGCAUUUGAAUGAGAAUUAAUCAUGAUAUAAAAUUUAGUUUUACUAUAAGUCUUAGUUGAAGGUUCCUCCAUGAAUCUAUGCCACUUCAGCAGCAAUCUUUCAGCGCACACGCAUUGCAUUGUCAUAACCAUUGACAGACGGAAUGUGGAUGCACUUUGAGCGCACGCGCAGAUGUUUUGGCACCAGCUGAAGCUAGGAUUGGAUAGGAUUUUUCAUUAGUGGCGCGUUCGUUUUUCAAUUUGAAUAAAUAAACCAACAAAGAGUGUGCACACACACUCGCACACACUCAAUAGCUAAACAAAACAUGACAACGCGUCCCAAAAAUAAUUGAAAGGAACAAGCGAAGCGCGUGUAGUCUAUAAAUCAAAGUGGCUGCUGCAGGAUAAUGCAGCAAGAAGAGUGUUGAGCACUAAUUUGAAUGGCGCAUCUGCAGCAGCAGCAGCAAGAAAGAUUCAUUGAGUGGCGCAUUUUUCGCUUGAAUGCAAUUGCAAAGGGAAUUGAGAUCCUUCGUAAUAUGUGAGGCACCUGGAACUACUUAGAAGAGCACGUUUUUUCUUUUGGAGCCAACGAACAGGUUGUCAGCGACCUACAAGCCAGCCGGAAAACCAGCUUCAUAGCGGCAAAAAAACAAAAUUGUAAUAUUAAAAUUUUAUUAUAACAGAAAAAAGCAACGACAACGACGACGAUGACGAUGACAACAACCUCCCUUUUGGACAACAACGACAACGAGCAACGACGACAACACAAAUCAGAUCAACCGUUGCCAGCGUGCUGAACUGGCAUGAACCUGCCGCCAAGUGGAGUCGGAGUCGAGAUUUGGUACCGUUGUGUUGUGCUGAUGUUGCAACAUUGGUUGACGACGGCGACACACGACGACGAGCAAGAAAUCUUUUGACUGAGCUCUGACUGCACAAAUUCCUCUAUCUCUCUCUGUCUCGCUUUUUGCAUGUGGGGGGCGUGCAUUCAACACAUCCGUGCAACCACAGGCCAUGCACGCCGCCGCCGGCGUGUUGCACUUUUUUCUCCUCGUUUUUUUGGUGGCAUCAGCAGCACAUCUUGCCCGCCUGGACAAAGUGCAGCCCAACAGCUAUUAAGUUGCGGCCCCCUUUUUGCAUAUGAUAUUUUCGUUGUUGUUGUUGUUGCUGUGUUUUGUGGCAUGAACUGACUGACGACGAGUGGCAGGUUAUCGUCCCGUUUAUGGUGCCAUCGCGUCAUGUUUAUAAAGAAAUUCUCUGCUUCUCAUCAUAAUACGAGUAAUUUUCAUUUGGCCCCAAACGUGUCGUCAAAAUGCCGACAUCCACCACAUUCAACCAACAAAAAAUCAUUCAUCGUUUUGGACAUCGCGAAACUGACGUUUAUGUUCUUAUAAUGCGAUGCUACUUGUUGGGCACGAGUGCGGAUGCCAAUGGCAACUCAAUAUUUGGGCAACUGUCGAUCGAAUUAUGCAGAUAACAUUAACGCAUCAAAUUAGAGUUGAGAAAAAGGAAAGAUCAAUCUUUUGACUG